CUUCUUUUCUAUUACAAAAUAUUCUUCUGCUCAACCUCAAUCUAUAAAGCGUGAUACCAAAACCCAAAUCUCAUCGGUGCCGCUACUCUCUUCUAGAUCAUCCAAGAAGUGAACGAAACCAAUGCUCUUUAUCUCCUUCGAGAACACCACGAUAAUCAUUUAUAAUGGUUUGAAUAUUUCAUUCACGGGAAAAGCUUUUAGGGUUUUAUUAUGUGAUAUCUUUUUUUUUGGUCUGCAGGUCUUAUAAAUGAUUAAACUAAUGUUUUUGUUUGAUCCUUGAUUUUCGUUAGUUGUGCAGAGCAAGUGAUCGAUGCUCCUUCCCUCUUUUGAACAACUCAGGUGCGAUUUUGGCAGGAGAAGAAAAAUGAAAAAUAACUAAAUAACAAUUCUCAAUAAGUGUCUGCACAUAUGAAAACAUUAUUGUAUGCACAUAGAUUAAUAAAAAUAAUUCAAGAAAUGAUUCUGGUUAUUAAAGAUAACCCCUAAUAUGCCACAUACAUGUAUUGGUAUAUGACCCAUUCCAAAUCAUC